AUUGAACGCUGGCGGCAUGCCUUACGCAUGCAAGUCGAACGGUAACAGGUCUUCGGAUGCUGACGAGUGGCGAACGGGUGAGUAAUACAUCGGAACGUGCCCGAGAGUGGGGGAUAACGAGGCGAAAGCUUUGCUAAUACCGCAUACGAUCUCAGGAUGAAAGCAGGGGACCGCAAGGCCUUGCGCUCACGGAGCGGCCGAUGGCAGAUUAGGUAGUUGGUGGGAUAAAAGCUUACCAAGCCGACGAGCUGUAGCUGGUCUGAGAGGACGACCAGCCACACUGGGACUGAGACACGGCCCAGACUCCGACGGGAGGCAGCAGUGGGGAAUUUUGGACAAUGGGCGCAAGCCUGAUCCAGCCAUGCCGCGUGCAGGAUGAAGGCCUUCGGGUUGUAAACUGCUUUUGUACGGAACGAAAAGACUCCUUCUAAUAAAGGGGGUCCAUGACGGUACCGUAAGAAUAAGCACCGGCUAACUACGUGCCAGCAGCCGCCGUAA
rnacentral:rRNA from 1 species